rnacentral:lncRNA from 1 species
AGCUACAUCCGUCACCUGACACGGCCCUACCAGGAACAGCCGCGCUCCCGCGGAUUCUGGUGCUGCUCGCGUCCCCGCUCCCCUAUUCCCCUUAUUUUAUUCCUGGCUCCCCUCGUCGAAAGUCUUCCAUUCUUCAAACUAGAUUAUUUAAAAAUGAAAAAGGAAGAAAGGAAAGCGAGGUCAUCUCAUUGCUCUAUCCGCCAAUCAGGAGGCUGAAUGUCAGUUUUGAACUAAAAGCCGCUCCGCUCCUCUUCUAGAUUUGGAAAACAAGCGAAAUUAAACUAAACCGCUGCACGCCUCUGACGCGACAUCUGGACACGGCGCGGCGCUGGCGCUGCCGGAGCUGUCGACCCGGCCUGGCGCCGGACUAGGACUAUUUGCCACGACAUUUCAAAGGAUUCCAAGAGAGAAUAUUGGUGUCCAUGCUGUGAUGAUUCCUCAGCUCCUCUCAUCUGAUCUCCGUCCUGGCCCCCAUGACUUUCUUUGUGGUAGUUAGGGUGUGGUAUGUGCCACUGAGGCCCACACCUAUUGCUGCAAUUUAUAGCACUGAUCUGUCAUCAAUACCACUUGCUGUCUUGGAUGUGAAGAUGAUUUUUCCUGCAGGGAUUCCCUCUACAAAAUUAAAAACACUGGGCAUGUGGAAAUAAUAUUCAUGCUUUAAAUUGUCUUUUCUCUUCACUACACCAGGGGUCCCCAACCCCUAGGCCACAGACUGUGGCCCUAGUGUAGUGAAUAGAAAAGACAAUUUAAAGCGUGAAUAUUAUUUCCUCAUGCCCAGUGUUUUUAAUUUUGUACUGGUCUGUGGCUUGUUAGAAACCAGGCUGCACAGCAGAAGGUGGGCAGCAGUGUCCCUUUUGAUGAGAAGAAUAAGCCUCAUUCUGAUUCAACAGCAGAGAUCAAAGAAAAGACUUCUGUUUUCUGGCCACCAGAUAUAUGUUAUCUGUGCUUAAAGAAUUGAAAAACACACAUCAAAGGAGAAUUUUCUUGGAAAGAGAGGGUUCAAGCAUCACUGUUAGGUGUGCUGGAAUCCUUUCCCGAGUCAGUACUGCUUUCUAGAAGAAAACCGGGGAGAUCUAUUUGGAAUGUAUCUAACUCCAAAGAAACCAUCAGAGGUAACAGUAGAGACGGGGUUUCACCAUGUUGGCCAGACUGGUCUUGAACUCUCGACCUCGUGAUUCGCCCGCCUCGGCCUCCCAAAGUGCUGGGAUUACAGGUGUGAGACACCACACCCGGCGGAUAGAGAGAAUUUUGACAGAUGUAGUGUCACUCUGUCGCCCAGGCUGGAGUGCAGUGGCGUGAUCUCGGCUCACUGCAACCUCUGCUACCCAGGUUCAAGCGAUUCUCCUGCCUCAGCCUCCCAAGGAGCUGGGAUUGCAGGCACCUGCCACCACGCCCAGCUAAUUUUUGUAGUUUUGGUAGAGAUGGUGUUUCACCAUUUUGGCCAGGCUGGUCUUAAACUCCUGACCUUGUGAUCCACCUGCCUUCGCCUCCCAAAGUGCUGGUAUUACAGGCAUGAGCCACUGUGCCCAGCCUAAAUGUUUUCUUUAAAAGCAAGGUAAGUAUGCCUAGAUGCACUGCCUCUUAGUAAUUUUUGAGGAUGGAUUAUUCAUUAAAUUGCUUCCCUUUCUCACAGCUGGUGAAUUAGAACGAUAGUGAGCUUACAAGAGCUUUAACGAGGAAAAGAUGGUCAUUGUUUAACAGAGAAGGAUGGUUUGGGUGAGCAUUUUUGUGUUUUUGGAGGGGAACUUUGAGGGCAAUGAGUGUUGCACCUGUGUCCACUGAGGAUCUCUGGGCGGGGUAAAAGGAAGGCAGGGAUGAGAGUGAGGAAGGGAGACAGGAGGGUCCCAAAUACGAACUUUGACUUAACGAGGAUGAUUACUAGAAGGGAAAGAUUGUGGAUUCAUUGAUGAGAUGUUGAACCAUGAAAACUCUAAUUGUAGAACUCACUUCAGACUGAAUUGACUUGGCUUUCAGUAGCAGAAGCCCUUUGUCUACUUCUCUAGUAUUGAAGUGAAUGCAAAUUUCUCAAUGUAAGAAAAGUAGAGUGGUGAAAUAAGAGUGUGGGUUCCAGGGUCAGACAACUGGGUGCAUAAAAAGGGUAAGGAUGCUACAACUGGUAAGCCCUGUGAGAAUUAUUUAAUCCUUCCAUGUCUCAUUCCGCUCAUCUGGAAAAUGAUGAUCAUACUAACUUAUGAGAUGUGUGUACAGACUAGAUAUAAUAUUAAAACAUUUCUGAUACCUAUGCAUUAUAUUGGAUCAAUAUAUAUUUGCAAUAAAUGAUCAACUUUUUAUUAA